rnacentral:lncRNA from 1 species
AUUACUGUAUGUUUUAUGUCUCAGGAUUAGACCCUGAUGGAUAUAAAAUUGGUUCUAGGAAUAGUUCCAACAGAUAGGCCAGAAAAGAUGGGAUUUGGGUAUUUAUUUGGUCAUGUCCUCAGACUUGAGUGCAGUAGUGAGCUCUUUGCCAAGGGAAAUGGAAUGUUAAGUAAAAUGCAGCAUGCAGUGAAAUCAUAACUAGUUAAAUUAACACCUAUGGUUGACUGGGAUGGAGUGCCCAUUAAAACAAGUGCCUUGGGAGCUCAGCUGGCUGCUACAUUUGACCAUAAUGGCAGCAACGAUGACUACAAGGACUGUGGUGCAGGAUGGAUAUUUUUAAGUGUGCUUGAGUGCUUACAGAAAGAAAACAACAAACUCAGAUUCUUUAAGCCCCAGUUCAAGUUAAAAUCUGAGAACUAGAAAGCCUUCAUGAUAUAAUCCUUGAAGCCAUGGUACUAACAGUAAUGAAAGACAAACAAAAUUUAGUUGUUCAUGUUACUUAAUUACAACAAGAAUUCAUAGUCUCACCAAGUGUCUCAUGAAAGUCAGGGCAUCUAAUGAGAAAGAUGGGACAUGGAACUUGGAAUAGGGAUAUCUGCUUGGACCCAGAUGAAACUGACAAUCCUGAACUCCCAAGUCCCUUCAGCCACCCUUAUCAGUGGAAGUAGCUUGCCCUCUGGUGUUUGAGAAAACUAGCCUUUCUUUGCUUAAAAUCAUGUGCUAACUUCACUUGAGGCAGAUGUCUUGGAAAGGGAUCCUCAUUCUCUUCAAGACCCACCACAGACCCCCUCAUUGUCAUUAGACCCACAACUGGGGUUAAAUCUCAGCAUGUUCCAGGGGCACAGAUCCACACUGUGACCCAUGAAGAAAUAGUUUACACACCAAAAUAAUUACAAUAAUGUUCAAUAAUAUAUGGGAAUGUAUUAAAAAACAUGUGUGGGUAUGCAUUAUAAGGAUGUUUGACCAGGAGGAUGGAAUACCCCACUAAAACAGGUUAAAUUCAUUGAUAUGACUGAAUUUGCUAAAGAUUCCAGAUUUAUAAUGUGUCUUUUUGUGCUGAAAGUAGGUAUAACACCUUGCUUCAUUGGUUAACUGAAAUAUGGGAUCAGCAGUGCCCUACAGUUGAUAAUAUUGAGAUGCCAGAGCUGCCCCAGUGUGAUGUAGAAGAGGGAAUUCAAACACUUAGGGAGAUAGGAAUGUUAAGUACCAUUUAUCAUGCAUACCCACUCCCAACUAUAUUCCACAAGAAGGCCAAGGGAGCACUUUCUUCACUAACAAUGAGAAAUAAAUUAGUAAGGGGAGCAUCCACAUCAUUGAAAAGCUGUAUGGUUUUUCUGUCCUGUAGGCUAGGUAUGACUGUGUGGAUGCCAUCAUUGAGAUGAGUUCCUUGAUUUCAAUAGGGAUGAUGAGAUCCUGGGGUAGCAACUGCCAAAGACGAAUUGGGUCCAUCUUCCUUAAAGGCCAUCACUCUUCUUUCUGUGCUACAGUGAGCAUCUCUAUUAGAGGGGACAUCCUGGACUGAGGUUAGCAGAGUAGUUUGUGGUAGGAAGAAAUGCUCCCCGCACCAAUCACUGUAGUCAGUAUCCCUUGGAUGACAAUGGCUCAGAGGUGACAGCAGAAAAUUUGUGAUCAGAGGAGAUGGGACUUGAAGGCCAAAGCAGUUUUCAUAAACCACUUACUGGGGAUGAAGAUGUCAGGCCAGGCUUGUUAAGCAAAACCAGAGGUUUCUGAUCAGAAGCAAGAGGAUUAACCAAAUCUAACACCCACACAGACAACAAAGAUCAGAGACAGCUGAGUCAGAUGUCAGACAAACAGACA